GCCGGCCAUCUCUCUGCCUGUAUGCCUAUAUAUGGAGAAAUGAACAAAGACAGCGUAGUCAGUUACUAGUUUAUUAAAAAAUAACAUUUAGUACACAAUGAUACAACACUGUACAGUAAUGUGUGUGGGAGCAGUGGUGUCCCAGAAUAGACUGUGGGGAAGAGACUGGAGGGAUGUCGAUGGAGUUAGACGGCCUACUGUAGUAGCCUCAGUCCUGAGAGGUGAUAAAGGCCCUGUCCUGUGACAACCCCAUAGCCCCUAUUGCCCAAGACACUUGGCCUAAGUGAUGGGGGCUGUGGUUUGUAUCUGGUAUGGGCGAUAGGCCUACUGCUUGUUCAUGAGCAUUGGUCUCAGCUCGGCAUUUAAUACUCCUGGAUUAAAUGGUUUCACAAUAUACACUAAAGUGCUUUUUAUUCCAGGAGAAACCUUGAUUAGGGUCUGAAAAAAUGUAUUUUACACUUGCAAACAACUGGCCACCAUUACUAUUACCAUACUAGAUAUUUAGUAUAGUGAAUAUGUGCAUCAGCAACCUAGCUCAGGACCAAUCCUCUUGAAACAAGCAGCACAGACACAUACAGGGUAAAAUACUGUAUGACUCAGCUGAGGAAUCGGUCUUUCCCUGCACCGUGUUGGUUAAAGACUGUAGUAUUGCAGGUCAUAGAGGAUACAUAAACCCUAUCUGCAUCAGAGGUGGGGGAUAGAUAGUGGUCAUAGACAGAAUGAUCAUCACCAAGGUCAAAUUGAUCUUGCAGAAUAGCAGUCUCGGUGUUGACUCCUCUGUGACAAUAGUAUGUUAUUGUAUCAGUUACAAGUUGACUGAAAUUCAGGGGGCAUAUCCAACACAUGCACCACACAGAACGCACUACAAUGCAGCGUUCUAUUGGAAAUGUAUGUAUACUGAACAAAAAUAUAAAAAAGUAAAAGUGUUAGUCCCAUGUUUCAUGAGCGGAAAUAAAAGAUGCCAGAAAUGUUUCAUAUACACAAAAAGCGUAUUUCUCUCAAAUGUUUUGCACAAAUUUGUUUACAUCCCUGUAUUGAGCAUUUCUUGUUUGCCAAGAUAA
rnacentral:lncRNA from 1 species